ACAAGGUUUCAUAUGACGUCACUGUAUUUGAGUCCACUAACACAUCUCACCUGGUUCCUGCUGAGCUGGAAGCUGUCUGUUAUCAGACUAGAGAUCCUGGAUGCCAUGAACCAGGACUAUGGGGUUCCUCUGAGCCAGCUCCAGGUGGAGAGAGGCAUGGAGAGAGAGUUCCGGAACACACGCUGAUAGAAGGCCGUCCAGAGGGCCAUGAACUGGGACACCACGGAGCC